rnacentral:lncRNA from 10 species
GGGUACUGUGUUUCUAUUUUCAUUGGAAAGAAGAUAGAAAAGAUUGAAAAAGAGAACAACUUUUAAAAAAACUAAACUUGUUCUUUUUUGUUUGUUUUAGUUUAGUUUUGUUUUUGAGAUGGUCUUGUUCUGUUACCCAGGCUGGAGUGCAGUGGUGUGAUCAUGGCUCACUACAACCUCAACCUCUGGGGCUCAAGCAGUCUUCCAGCCUCAGACUCCUGAGUAGGGGACCACAGGCACUUGCCACCAUGCCCAGGAGAGGUUUAGAAGAAAGAAGAGAAGGACUACCAGAAGAGAUGAGAGAGCCUUAGCAGCAUCCAGAGAGGAGAAGAGGGCAUGUCAUGGAAAGCUUUGAUGGAAGAUUUUUUGAGGAUGAGACCAAGGACAUGUUACAAUGUUUUGGAUCACAUCAGCAGAGGAAUCAAAGAUGACCCUGAAUUUUUGAGUUGAGGGGUCUCAUUGGAUUGUAUGGCCAAUAGCAAGGAUAGAGAAUGAAUAAAGAGGAGCAUUCCAUUUAGAUCGCUUUCAAAAUAGGAUGUACUCCCAUCAAUCUAAAAUGGAUAAAGUUGGUUCUGCCUGCUGAAAGGACAGUGGAAUGAAACUUACAGAAGUUCUUCUCAAACAUUCUCACGACAUUCUCAUGACAACCUCAAAGCCCAGUCAUUAACUAAAUUGAAAAGUACAAAAGGAGAAAUGGAAAUGGUUUUGGGUGAAGAAUGUGGGUUUAAGGUUUUAAGAAUGCUGUCUGUGAGGUGUUCCAGUGGAGGGAUACAGGGUGGAAACAUCCAUCAACAGUCAUGUAGAAUCUCAGGCUCAUGAUUAGAUUACUAAGAUUACAGCUUGGCACUUAGAGCUCAGGUCUAGAAGUGAGGACGUGUGGAUGAGAUGUGUAGAGGUGAUGGUUGAACCUAUCAUAAUGGUCACAGACACAACCAAUGAGGAGAAGAAAAGAAAGGGAGACAUAUGGCCAGGCGCGGUCACUCAUGCCUGUAAUCCUAGCACUUUGGGAGGCUGAGGUGGGUGGAUCACAAGGUCAGGAGCUCGAAACCAGCCUGGCUAAUAGGGUGAAACCCCAUCUCUAUUAAAAAUACAAAAAUUAGCUGGGCAUGGUGGCAUGCGCCUGUAGUCCCAGCUGCUCGGGAGGCUGAG